GAUGAACGCUGGCGGCGUGCCUAAUACAUGCAAGUCGAGCGAACAGACGAGGAGUUUGCUCCUCUGACGUUAGCGGCGGACGGGUGAGUAACACGUGGAUAACCUACCUAUAAGACUGGGAUAACUUCGGGAAACCGGAGCUAAUCCCGGAUAAUAUAUUGAACCGCAUGGUUCAAUAGUGAAAGACGGUUUUGCUGUCACUCAUAGGUGGUUCCGCGCCGGAUUAGCUAGUUGGUUAGGUAACGGCUUACCAAGGGGACGAGGCGUAGCCGGUCGGAGAGGGUGAGCGGCCACACGGGGACGGAGGCACGGUCCAGACUCCAACGGGAGGCAGCAGUAGGGAAUCUGGCAGAAGGGGCGAAAGCCUGACGGAGCAACGCCGCGUGAGUGGUGAAGGUCUUCGGAGCGUAGACCGCUGUUAGUUGGGAAGAACAAAUGUGUAAGUAACUAUGCACGUCGUGACGGUACCUAAACAGAAAGCCACGGCUAACUACGUG
rnacentral:rRNA from 1 species